CUCUUAGUCUAGGUAGACACUUUCACUGGAUAGGGAGAGGCCUUUCCUACAGGGUCUGAGAAGGCCACCGCAGUCAUUUCGUCCCUGCUGUCAGACAUAAUUCCUCAGUUUAGCUUUUGUCCCAGAGUCCUUACUCUGGGCUGUGUAGACCCCUCUAAAGAUAUGACUACUCUAUGAGAACCCCUCCCACCCAAUGCGAAGAUUGCAAAAGCUCUUAGGAGGAUGGAAAUGGUUACAUGGUUGGAUAGAGGGGCAGCAGGAACAUGAGAGGCAUAGAAGAUUUUUUUUUCUUUUUUUUUCUUUUGAGACAGAGAAUUCCAGACACAGCAGAGAAUCAAAAUGGUGUUUGGAAGAUUACAAGCCUAGCAAACCUUUUGUGCUCAGGAGCUAUCCAGAGUACUAGGCUGCCUCUACCUCCGGUUCACCUGAGCUGAGGCCAGAGUCUUCUGCUCGGUAUCUGACAUCAAGUCUCUGCCUUGGGCUUGGCUUCAGCUCUAAUUCAUACCAGCUUCCUUCCCUCUUCUGUGUUCUACUGGACUCCACUAUUCUCAGAACCAACCAUUUGCAAGCCGUGGGAAAGCCUGGUUUUGAUAACCAGCUGCACCCAAUGCCACCUUCACUGUGGUUUUAAUAAGAGAUAGCUUGUUUCCCUGGAUGUUUCCCAGCCAUAGUGGACACACACACACACACACACACACACACACACACACAGACGCGUGUGCGCGCAUGCACACACACACAUCAUUAGAUUUUGCAGACAUGAGGUUUAUAUUUUUAGAUAGAUUUUUGCAUAAGCACAUUUGAAUUUAUGUACAAUAUGUCAGACCUUGCUUUACAGUGACCUGAUUUAAAAAAGUUUUUUUCUACAGAUUUCUCUGUAUGUGCAUAUAUACAGAAGCUUGUAGCAAUCAGUAUACAAAAUAAUGUCAUCAGG
rnacentral:lncRNA from 10 species